AUACCUAUGGGUUCUAGGCUCAAUAUUUGAGGCCCAGUAGCAACAAGCUAUCCUGUGUUCUUGUGUGUGUCAAUUUUAAUAUUUUCAUAAUUUUGUAUGUUUAUUUUGUAAAUUAAAUAAUUAAUUUUUAUCAUAUUUAAUUGGACAGAGUAUAUACCUAUGGUUUCAGGCUCGAUAUUUGAGGCCCAGUAGCACCAAGCUAUCCUGUGUUCUUGUGUGUGUCAGCUUUAAAAUUUUCAUAAUUUUGUAUGUUUGUUUUGUAAAUUAAAUAAUUAAUUUUUAUCAUAUUUAAUUGGACAGAGUAUAUACCUAUGGGUUCCAAGCUCGAUAUUUGAGGCCCAGUAGCCUCAAGCUAUCCUGUGUUCUUGUGUGUGUCAAUUUUAAUAUUUUUAUAAUUUUGUAUGUUUGUUUUAUAAAUUAAAUAAUUAAGUUUUAUCAUAUUUAACUGGACAGAGUACAUACCUAUGGGUUCUAGGCUCGAUAUUUGAGGCACAGUAAAACCAAGCUAUCAUGUGUUCUUGUGUGUGUCAAUUUUAAUAUUUUCAUAAUUUUGUAUGUUUAUUUUGUAAAUUAAAUAAUUAAUUUUUAUCAUAUUUAAUUGGACAGAGUAUAUACCUAUGGGUUCCAGGCUCGAUAUUUGAGGCCCAGUAGCCUCAAGCUAUCCUGUGUUCUUGUGUGUGUCACUUUUAAUAUUUUUAUUAUUUUGUAUGUUUGUUUUGUAAAUUAAAUAAUUAAGUUUUAUCAUAUUUAACUGGACAGAGUAUAUAUCUAUGGGUUCUAGGCUCGAUAUUUGAGGCACAAUAGUACCAAGCUAUCAUGUGUUCUUGUGUGUGUCAAUUUUAAUAUUUUCAUAAUUUUGUAUGUUUGUUUUGUAAAUUAAAUAAUUAAUUUUUAUCAUAUUUAAUUGGACAGAGUAUAUACCUAUGGGUUCCAGACUCGAUAUUUGUUGCUUAGUAGCACCAAGCUAUCAUGUGUUCUUGUGUUGUCAAUUUUAAUAUUUUCAUUAUUUUGUAUGUUUGUUUUGUAAAUUAAAUAAUUAAUUUUUAUCAUAUUUAAUUGGACAGAGUAUAUAUCUAUGGGUUCCAGGCUCGAUAUCUGAAUC
rnacentral:lncRNA from 1 species